rnacentral:rRNA from 1 species
GAGACUCUGGGUCACCUCCCACCCGUGUUUAUUUUACCUUGUUGCUUCGGCGGGCCCGCCUUAACUGGCCGCCGGGGGGCUUACGCCCCCGGGCCCGCGCCCGCCGAAGACACCCUCGAACUCUGUCUGAAGAUUGUAGUCUGAGUGAAAAUAUAAAUUAUUUAAAACUUUCAACAACGGAUCUCUUGGUUCCGGCAUCGAUGAAGAACGCAGCGAAAUGCGAUACGUAAUGUGAAUUGCAAAUUCAGUGAAUCAUCGAGUCUUUGAACGCACAUUGCGCCCCCUGGUAUUCCGGGGGGCAUGCCUGUCCGAGCGUCAUUGCUGCCCUCAAGCACGGCUUGUGUGUUGGGCCCCGUCCUCCGAUCCCGGGGGACGGGCCCGAAAGGCAGCGGCGGCACCGCGUCCGGUCCUCGAGCGUAUGGGGCUUUGUCACCCGCUCUGUAGGCCCGGCCGGCGCUUGCCGAUCAACCCAAAUUUUUAUCCAGGUUGACCUCGGAUCAGGUAGGGAUACCCGCUGAACUUAAGCAUAUCAAAGGAGGGGAGGA